ensembl:lncRNA
CGGAAACCUCACCUGGGUCUCAGGAGUUUUCAUGAUGUAAAUACCAAAUUCCUUCCCUCUCUCUCUCUCUUCCUCCUUCUCUCCCCUCCCCCCCUUUCUAAAGCAAAGGGCAACAGCCGAAUUAGAUCGAGAUGAGGGAUUGUUUUGCAAAUUAGGUCCAGCACCAGAAGGAUAAAGGCCAGGCCUAAAAAGAAAUUGGAUUACAGGAAAAGGCCAGGAGAGAUGGGGGAAAGGAAUCUGUUGCCAAGGCUAGUGACCUGAAUUUGCCAUGUGACAGGAUACCGGCAGUCUAGUCCAAUAGCAAGCCACCAUGCUCCACCGAACAGGCAUGAGUCAGCGGAAGAGACAAGAAUCAGCUGGAAUACCAUGAGAAGUCCUUUUGUGCGUUUCUCUCUAGGAAGUGAAGACCAGCAAAGACCACCGAAGGCUGGAAACAUCUCUCUGACAGCUUCCAGAAAAACAUCACGUGACAAACUGAGUUUCCAAAGAAACCAGAAAUUUCCACUUUGUGAAAACCUGUUUAACAAAACAAAACAAGGCCUGUGGCUACAGGAGUUGGUAGAGUUUAUCUUGCCUAGAGCACAAAGUCCUGGGCUUAAUUCCUAGCACUGCAUAAAAACCAAGCUAUGGGACACAUUUGAGGCUAUGGUCUAUGUUUCAAAAACAAAGAAAUCCCUCACACCUGAUACCUGUUGGUGAAUCAUUUCCCCCUCCUCAGGGGGUGCCAGACACUGUUAGUCAUCCCUACAGUGCUACCUCAGCACCUGAGCUGGGGACCGAACCCAGGGCCUUCUGCUUCCUAGGCAAGCGCUCUACCACUGAGCUAAAUCCCCAACCCCUUAAACAGACUUUUCAAGAGCUGCC